UAGCAUAGCUCAGUCGGUAGAGCAUGUGACUCUUAAUCUCAGGGUCCUGGGUCCGAGCCCCACAUUGGGGAAAAG
rnacentral:tRNA from 1 species